rnacentral:rRNA from 1 species
GCUUGUCUCAAAGAUUAAGCCAUGCAUGUCUAAGUAUAAACGAAUUUAUACUGUGAAACUGCGAAUGGCUCAUUACAUCAGUUAUAGUUUAUUUGAUGGUCCUUGCUACUUGGAUAACCGUAGUAAUUCUAGAGCUAAUACAUGCAUAAAACCCUAACUUCUGGAAAGGGUGUAUUUAUUAGAUGGAAACCAAUGCGGGGUAACCCGGAAUAUGGUGAUUCAUAAUAAUUAAGCGGAUCGCAUGGCCUUGUGCUAGCGACAGUCCACUCGAUUUUCUGCCCUAUCAUGGUUGAGAUUGUAAGAUAGAGGCUUACAAUGCCUACAACGGGUAACGGGGAAUUAGGGUUCGAUUCCGGAGAGGGAGCCUGAGAAACGGCUACCACAUCCAAGGAAGGCAGCAGG